AGGCCUUCAGGAACUCUUGGUAUAUAUAUCGCUAUUCAAGACCUGCCGGUUACUUUCAACAUCUUUUUUUUCCCUUCCUGUCCUAAUUCCAUCCUCAAAUCCAUGAAGGGAACUUGCUUUCUUAAUUUCAUGAAAAUGAAAUAGCCGUACGCAGUGGAGCUGAGCUGUGGUAGACCAACGAUCCCUUGUUUGUUCUUUCUAUAAAAUACGACACCACGCAAUUCCAUAUAGCGAUGCCGGCAGUUACAUGUGUGUGUAUAUAUACAUAUAGAUAUAUCUUCCACCAAGAACCAGCCUGACUCGAACCUCUCUUUCAGAUAUCAUAGAGACUUGACUUCAGUUUCCUACCUGCGUAUAUACAAUAUGGUGGUUUAUCAUCAAUCUAGCAGCCAAUCUAUGCUGGGCAAGCUCGGAUCAGGAGUGGUUGCCUUAUCGAUAUGCUUCUUCUUCUUCUUCUUGCGAUUGGUGUCAAAUGCUGAUGCUGCUGGUCGUCCAAUCAACAUGGGAAAACAAUAUUCCAAUUCAAGUCAUGAUGAUCGUCAGCUUUCUCGGAUGAGGGGUCUUUCUGCAAAUGGACUCGGUCUUGCACCACCCAUGGGAUGGAAUAGUUGGAACCAUUUUCACUGUAACAUUGAAGAGAAAUUGAUUAGGGAUACAGCGGAUGCAAUGGUUUCAUCUGGCCUUGCUGCUCUAGGAUAUGAACACGUAAAUUUAGACGAUUGCUGGGCUGAACUUAACAGGGACUCUGAGGGAAACUUGGUUCCAAAAGCUUCGACGUUUCCCUCGGGAAUAAAAGCGUUGGCAGAUUAUAUACAUGGAAAAGGGUUGAAGCUUGGAAUUUACUCCGAUGCUGGGAGUCAGACCUGCAGUAGAACAAUGCCUGGAUCAUUAGGCCACGAGGAACAAGAUGCAAAAACGUUUGCUUCCUGGGGAGUGGACUACUUGAAGUAUGAUAACUGUAACAAUGAUGGUACAAGCCCAAAGGAGAGAUAUCCAGUAAUGAGCAAGGCCUUGUUAGAUUCUGGAAGGCCCAUCUUCUUUUCACUGUGUGAAUGGGGGCAGGAAGACCCAGCAACUUGGGCAUCGAAUGUUGGAAAUAGUUGGAGAACAACAGGAGACAUUUCUGAUAACUGGAAUAGCAUGACAUCCUGUGCAGAUCAAAACGAUCAAUGGGCGUCUUAUGCUGCACCUGGAGGUUGGAACGAUCCUGACAUGCUUGAAGUUGGAAAUGGAGGCAUGACAACAGAGGAAUAUCGCUCACAUUUCAGCAUAUGGGCGUUAGCCAAGGCUCCUCUUCUCAUUGGAUGUGAUGUUCGAACAAUGAGUGAUGAAACACUUGAAAUAUUAAGCAACAGGGAAGUUAUUGCAGUUAAUCAAGGUGUGGGCUGGCCCUCUUAGCAAUAAUAAGAUAGCGGUGGUGCUAUGGAAUAGAGGUUCCUCAAGAGCUACAGUUACUGCUUACUGGUCUGACAUAGGCCUUGAUCCAACGACUACUUUCAAUGCUAGAGAUUUAUGGGCGCACUCUAAUCAGCCAUCAGUUAAAGGACAGAUAUCAGCUGAUUUGGAUUCCCAUGCUUGUAAAAUGUAUGUCCUGACUCCCCAGUAGCGAUCACAUUGCUGUGAUCGGAAUGCAUGGAAGAGCUGGCCUGGCUAGAAGAAAGGAAGAUAAGAGAAAGAGGAAAAGAGUUGAAUUGUAGCAGCAUUCACUGUAUUAGCUCCUUUGCCUUACGUGCUUAAAUAAAUAGUUGACCCGUUUCAUGGACUUUUUUUGUUGUGUAUCAAUUUCUUUAUUUUACUUUGUUAAAAUUUAUUAGUUUGAUGUUUUUUUAUUAUUACUUUCUAUCAUAAACAAUGAGAUUGUCCUCGAUGCAUCAAAUCAAAUAAAUGCAGAAGAAGUUAUUUGA